rnacentral:rRNA from 1 species
UGGGGAAUAUUGCACAAUGGGCGCAAGCCUGAUGCAGCCAUGCCGCGUGUAUGAAGAAGGCCUUCGGGUUGUAAAGUACUUUCAGCGGGGAGGAAGGCGAUAUGGUUAAUAACCUUGUCGAUUGACGUUACCCGCAGAAGAAGCACCGGCUAACUCCGUGCCAGCAGCCGCGGUAAUACGGAGGGUGCAAGAGUUAAUCGGAAUUACUGGGCGUAAAGCGCACGCAGGCGGUCUGUCAAGUCGGAUGUGAAAUCCCCGGGCUCAACCUGGGAACUGCAUCCGAAACUGGCAGGCUAGAGUCUUGUAGAGGGGGGUAGAAUUCCAGGUGUAGCGGUGAAAUGCGUAGAGAUCUGGAGGAAUACCGGUGGCGAAGGCGGCCCCCUGGACAAAGACUGACGCUCAGGUGCGAAAGCGUGGGGAGCAAACA